rnacentral:rRNA from 1 species
UACAGAGGGUGCGAGCGUUUAAUCGGAAUUACUGGGCGUAAAGCGCACGUAGGCGGCUUGGUAUGUCGGGUGUGAAAUCCCCGGGCUCAACCUGGGAACUGCAUCCGAAACUGCCCUGCUAGAGUAUGGGAGAGGGAAGCGGAAUUCCCGGUGUAGUGGUGAAAUGCGUAGAUAUCGGGAGGAACACCAGUGGCGAAAGCGGCGCACUGGACCACAUCUGACGCUGAGGCGCGAAAGCUAGGGGAGCAAACAGG